rnacentral:rRNA from 1 species
UACGUAGGGUGCAAGCGUUGUCCGGAAUUAUUGGGCGUAAAGAGCUCGUAGGCGGUUCGUCGCGUCGGCUGUGAAAACCCGGAGCUCAACUCCGGGCCUGCAGUCGAUACGGGCGGACUCGAGUUCGGCAGGGGAGACUGGAAUUCCUGGUGUAGCGGUGAAAUGCGCAGAUAUCAGGAGGAACACCGGUGGUGUAGACGGCUCUCUGGACCGUAACUGACGCUGAGGCACGAAAGCGUGGGUAGCAAACAGG